rnacentral:rRNA from 1 species
AUGGACCCCGCGUCCUGAUUAGCCUAGUUGGUGAGAUAACUGCCCACCAAGGCGACGAUCAGUAGCCGACCUGAGAGGGUGAUCGGCCACAUUGGAACUGAGACACGGUCCAAACUCCUACGGGAGGCAGCAGUGGCGGAAUAUUGCACAAUGGGCGCAAGCCUGAUGCAGCAACGCCGCGUGAACGAUGAAGGUCUUCGGAUCGUAAAGUUCUGUUGCAGGGGAAGAUAAUGACGGUACCCUGUGAGGAAGCCCCGGCUAACUACGUGCCAGCAGCCGCGGUAAUACGUAGGGGGCUAGCGUUAUCCGGAUUUACUGGGCGUAAAGGGUGCGUAGGUGGUCUUUCAAGUCGGUGGUUAAAGGCUACGGCUCAACCGUAGUUAGCCUCCGAAACUGGAAGACUUGAGUGCAGGAGAGGAAAGUGGAAUUCCCAGUGUAGCGGUGAAAUGCGUAGAUAUUGGGAGGAACACCAGUAGCGAAGGCGGCUUUCUGGACUGCAACUGACACUGAGGCACGAAAGCGUGGGUAGCAAACAGGAUUAGAUACCCUGGUAGUCCACGCUGUAAACGAUGAGUAUAGGUGUCGGGGGUUAUCCCCCUCG